rnacentral:rRNA from 1 species
CAGUAGCCGCGGUAAUACGAAGGGGGCUAGCGUUGUUCGGAAUUACUGGGCGUAAAGCGCACGUAGGCGGAUAUUUAAGUCAGGGGUGAAAUCCCGCAGCUCAACUGCGGAACUGCCUUUGAUACUGGGUAUCUUGAGUAUGGAAGAGGUUAGUGGAAUUGCGAGUGUAGAGGUGAAAUUCGUAGAUAUUCGGAAGAACACCAGUGGCGAAGGCGGCUUACUGGCUCAUACUGGACGCUGAGGUGCGAAAGCGUGGGGAGCAAACAGGAUUAGAUACCCCUGUAGUCCCUGUCUCUUAUAC